AUACACUGGAUUUCCAAGCAUCAUGGAACACAUACUCGGAACUAUUCUCUCAUGGCUUAUGCCGUAUGGGAAUGGAAAUGCUAUCCACAUAAAAAGUUUCUUUGACAUCACUUCUGCAGAUGCCUGCCACAGCAAGGCUUGACAAGCAGUGCAUAGGUCUGAGCCCAGGAUCCGAACUGCGAAUCCUGGGCCAUGAAAGUGGACUUCACUGCUGCACCACUGGGCUGGCCUCUCGGCUUUUCUGAACGUAUCUUCUUUUACAGUUUUGACCAGAAAAUGUCUAGGGUAGGAAAUGUACAAGAUGAGGUUGGGACAUCAAAGACUACCAGGUCUGUUGAAAGGAACUAAGAGUCAAUUAAAGAAGGCUCCCAUGGCCAAAGAUGGAAGAAUUUGAGCACCAAUCAAUCAACC
rnacentral:lncRNA from 1 species